rnacentral:rRNA from 1 species
CUACGGGUGGCAGCAGUAGGGAAUUUUCGGCAAUGGGCGAAAGCCUGACCGAGCAAUGCCGCGUGAACGAUGAAGGCCUUCGGGUUGUAAAGUUCUGUUAUCAGGGAAGAACAUACGGAUUAGGAAAUGACUCCGUACUGACGGUACCUGAUCAGAAAGCUCCGGCUAACUACGUGCCAGCAGCCGCGGUAAUACGUAGGGAGCAAGCGUUAUCCGGAAUUAUUGGGCGUAAAGCGUGCGUAGGCGGUUCGUUAAGUCAAAUCUGAAAGCCCACAGCUUAACUGUGGAGGGCGAUUUGAAACUGGCGAACUUGAGUACGGGAGAGGUUAGUGGAAUUCAAUGUGUAGCGGUGGCAUGCGUAGAUAUAUUGAGGAACACCAGUGGCGAAGGCGGCUAACUGGACCGGAACUGACGCUGAGGCACGAAAGCGUGGGGAGCAAACAGGAUUAGAUACCCGCGUAGUC